GUUCGCUUUUCGCGGUGAAAAUCCAUAUAAAAAACUGAAAAAAUUGCCGAAAUGUUUUUUCAACUAUUGAAAAUUUAACAUUGAGCGACGCCCAAGGAAAGCACAAUAACAGUGGCUAUGAAACACACACAUCAUUGUAACUCAAUGUUAUUAGUUUUGGUGACCAUAAACAUAUGUUUAUACACACAUAUGUGAAGUAUGGACACACCAGGAAGUAGGAAGAUGUUAAAGUACAUAGAAUAUUAUAAAAAAAAGCAAUAAAAGAUGAUAAAAAUAGGUUUGGUAAAAUUUUAAUGUUUAGUAUUUUUACGGUGAUUGCGGACCACAACCACACACUCUUUAUCCAUAAUUUAUCCAACAAAUACAUAAUCAACAUUAAGUCGUAAUCGUCUUAUCAUCAACAGCAACUGCCAAAGCAUUUUAAUGGACAUUAUCAUCACAAUUCAUGAUACAGGUGGUGGCCGUAAGUGCUAUGCUCGUCUCCAUCCCCGUGCUAAUAACUGUCGCAAAAAGAAGUAUGGACACAACAAGUUGCGCCCUACGAAGAAGUUGAAGUACAUAUACUAUUA